CAAUAGCGUAUAUUAAAGUUGUUGCAGUUAAAAAGCUCGUAGUUGGAUUUCUGUCCAAGACGACCGGUCCGCCUUCUGGUGUGUACCAGGUUUGACUUGGGCAUAUUCCUGUGGGUCACACUGCUAUUCAUUUAGUGGCGUGGACUGCAGGUACUUUACUUUGAGAAAAUUAGAGUGUUUCAAGCAAGCUUUUGCUUUGAAUACUGCAGCAUGGAAUAAUCCUAUAGGACUUCGGUUCUAUUUGUUGGUUUCUAGUGCCGAAGUAAUGAUUAAUAGGGACAGUUGGGGGCACUCGUAUUUAACUGUCAGAGGUGAAAUUCUUGGAUUUGUUAAAGACGAACUACUGCGAAAGCAUUUGCCAAGGAUGUUUUCAUUAA
rnacentral:rRNA from 1 species